GACGAACGCUGGCGGCGUGCCUAAUACAUGCAAGUCGAACGCAGUGGGGACGGGUGAGUAACACGUGGGUAACCUCCCAUCAGAGGGGUUGACACUUGGAAACAGGUGCUAAACCGCUACUGGUGGAUGGACCCGCGGUGCAUUAGCUAGUUGGUGAGGUAACGGCUGACCAAGGCCACGAUGCAUAGCCGAGCUGAGAGGGUGAUCGGCCACACGGGGACUGAGACACGGCCCAGACUCCUACGGGAGGCAGCAGUAGGGAAUCUUCGGCAAUGGACGAAAGUCUGACCGAGCAACGCCGCGUGAGUGAAGAAGGUUUUCGGAUCGUAAAGCUCUGUUGUUAGAGAAGCGGUAUCUAACCAGAAAGCCACGGCUAACUACGUGCCAGCCGCCGCGGUAAUUC
rnacentral:rRNA from 1 species